UUGGAGGGCAAGUCUGGUGCCCGCAGCCGCGGUAAUUCCAGCUCCAAUAGCGUAUAUUAAAGUUGCUGCAGUUAAAAAGCUCGUAGUUGAAUUUCGGGACCAUCAUGUCGGUCGUGCCUCGGUACGUACUGGUAUUGUUGGUUUCUCCCUUCUGACGAACCAUGAUGUCAUUUAUUUGGUGUUGUGGGGAAUCAGGACUGUUACUUUGAAAAAAUUAGAGUGUUUAAAGCAGGCUCACGCUUGAAUACAUUAGCAUGGAAUAAUGAAAUAGGACGUUCGAUCCUAUUUUGUUGGUUUCUAGGAUUGACGUAAUGAUUAAUAGGGAUAGUUGGGGGCAUUAGUAUUCAAUUAUCAGAGGUGAAAUUCUUGGAUUUAUUGAAGACUAACUACUGCGAAAGCAUUUGCCAAGGAUGUUUUCAUUAAUCAAGAACGAAAGUUAGGGGAUCGAAGACGAUCAGAUACCGUCGUAGUCUUAACCAUAAACUAUGCCGACUAGGGAUCGGAUGAUGUUAAUUUUUUAAUGACUCAUUCGGCGCCUUACGGGAAACCAAAGUGUUUGGGUUC
rnacentral:rRNA from 1 species